GCUUACGGCCACACCGGCCUGAGUACGCCUGAUCUCGUCCGAUCUCGGAAGCUAAGCAGGGACGGGCCUGGUUAGUACUUGGAUGGGAGACCGCCUGGGAAUACCAGGUGCUGUAAGCU
ensembl:rRNA 5S_rRNA 5S ribosomal RNA